rnacentral:lncRNA from 1 species
CCAACUCUGAUUUUUAAUCAUCAGUUCAUGUUUUUUGUGCCAGCAUUGUUACUAAAGCCACGUGCUACUAAAGCGAAGUUGCAAUUUAGAAAAAUCAUACACACCAACAAAUACAGUGAUCAUGCAGAUUACAAGACUUACGAAUAGAUUACCUUUUGGAUCUGGUCAAUAUACUCGUUAGUAGUUCUUGAAAUAGAUUGUGGUUUCUCCCCUUGAAAUGAAGGCCUAGGUUUUUGAAAAUGACCCAAAUUCUUUUAUUCACAACGAGAAAGCCCUAAUCAUCACCAAAAGAUCACAAGUUCACUAUUGAAAUCUAUAAGUCAACAUAGACAAUUCUUUGGUCAAAUUGAAUAUUUCUAUUUUAAAUAGAUUAGAAAGUUUUUUAUCCAAUUUCGCAAAGAGCUAAACGCAAAGCCUCAAACCCUAAUAGGCACUUCAAGGUGAAAAAAUUGUUUAAGCCUAAAUGACACGCUAUAAACCUAAAGCCAUAGUAAUACAAAUUAUACAGACUACAAUUACAAUAUAUUCAAGGCUUUCAAUUUCAAGUAUCACGUGAAUUUCACAAAAAGCAUACAAGUACAUCAAAAAUAGGGUUCACAGUCCUCACUUGCAUACCACACCCGCACUAGAUUUACUUUUUCAUCAAAGGGUUGAAAAGUAGAAUUUUCAUAAGUAGGAAACAGUUUUGAAUUAAACAUAGAACAAUUGUAUAAUUUAAAACUACAGACUCGUCCAAAAAUUUGAGUUGUUAAAAAAGGGAGAAAUAUAGUUAUUCAUAUUAUAUCUUCAAAAUGAACCUUAAAUAUUUCAGAGUUCGAAGCAUAACAAUUUCCUCUUCAAGUACACAAACCUCCUCUGGUGGUAGAAUUUUCUUUUCACGUGUUAUAUGUAGUAUGCAAUGUGUAGAAGAAAUUAGUUGCCACCAAUUAAAAUCAAUGAAGAAAUAGUAUACUAUGCAGCAUUAGAAGUCUCAGGUAUCCUAUUACCUUUGAAGGCAAAUGAUAUGACAAACCAGAAAAUGCAAAGGACAUGAAUUCUUAGUUUCAGAAAAACAACUCAAAAAGAUCACAAAAUUUGAAUUUAUCAUUUCAAUCUCUCUAGUAAACAUAAUUUCACUGUUCUCUCUCUUUCACUCUACAUAAAGAAAGUAAUUGUGUUUUGAGAAUAUACCUGUUCUAGUAUUAAAUGGACUCUCCGCCUUGAUUUGGUUGAUGAGGCAAAUACCCAUCCAAGUGCCAAAAAUCCCUCAAGAGACUCGAUUUCUUGGCCUAUGAAAACAGGUUUCAAUUCCAAAACCGACCUCUAGACUUUGUUUUUUUCUUUUCGUUCCUUUUUCCUUGAUGCAAGGACAAAGUGAAAAUAAUUUGCUUAACUUCGGGUACCUAAAAGUGAAAUUAGCUGAAAAAGCCUCGUAGUUCCAAAUCUAAUGUGAAUCCUCUAAAUUUUCUUGAUCUCUGUUUAUGUUAGGUAUUACUUAUCAGUCAGCGUUCACAUACAUAUUCAAAAAGUUCAUAAUUUUGCUAUUAGUAAAAAAUUAAAUUGGCCAAAAAAAUAAUAAUUACAAAUUGGAAGUUUGGAAUCAAGAACUACCUCUGGCUGUUACAGCAUUCUCCGAACCAAGAAUCAUAGAAACUUCCAUUUUCCACUGCAAUUUGAGCCUUAAUACACUUCUCUCUCUAAAUGGUUCAACCAACCCGAAUUUCUAUGAUUGCCAAAAUAUGCCUAGCCUUCGCUCUCUAUGUGAGUGUGCGCGGGCGAGAGACAGACUCGAGGCUUUAGCGAACUGCGAAGCUAAGUAGCCAACUAACCAAGCGAGAAAAUAUGGGAUUCUAGAAUACUGGAACUGAAAGUCUGGAACUUUGGAGUCUGGAAGCGGAAGUAGGAGAAGUCGAGCUAGAAAGACGGUCAGACGGAAGCGACGAAGCGUUUGGGAAAAAUGGAUUUCAAUUUGGGAAUUUUGGGGAAAAUGGAUAAUGGAUCAGGAUACGGGCUUGAGCUUGAG